rnacentral:rRNA from 1 species
GGCGGCUCGAGUGGUGGCCACUAUUACUGGGCUUAAAGCGUUCGUAGCUGGUCUGUUAAGUCUCUGGGGAAAUCUACUGGCUUAACCAAUAGGCGUCUCAAGGAUACUGGCAGACUAGGGACCGGGAGAGGUGAGAGGUACUCCAGGGGUAGGAGUGAAAUCCUGUAAUCCUUGGGGGACCACCUGUGGCGAAGGCGUCUCACCAGAACGGCUCCGACAGUGAGGGACGAAAGCUGGGGGAGCAAACC